rnacentral:rRNA from 1 species
AGAGUUUGAUCCUGGCUCAGGAUGAACGCUAGCGGCAGGCUUAAUACAUGCAAGUCGAGGGGCAUCAAGUCUUCGGAUGUUGGCGACCGGCAAACGGGUGCGGAACACGUACACAACUUACCUUUUAGUGGGGGAUAGCCCAGAGAAAUUUGGAUUAAUACCCCGUAAGAUAUUUGAGUGGCAUCACUUGGAUAUUAUAGAUUUAUUGCUAGGAGAUAGGUGUGCGUCUGAUUAGGUAGUUGGUAGGGUAACGGCCUACCAAGCCAACGAUCAGUAGCUGAUGUGAGAGCAUGAUCAGCCACACGGGCACUGAGACACGGGCCCGACUCCUACGGGAGGCAGCAGUAAGGAAUAUUGGACAAUGGACGCAAGUCUGAUCCAGCCAUGCCGCGUGAAGGAUUAAGGUCCUCUGGAUUGUAAACUUCUUUUAUAGGGGGCGAAAAUGGGUUUUUCUAGAUCAACUGACGGUACCCUAUGAAUAAGCACCGGCUAACUCCGUGCCAGCAGCCGCGGUAAUACGGAGGGUGCAAGCGUUAUCCGGAUUCACUGGGUUUAAAGGGUGCGUAGGCGGGUAAUUAAGUCA